GGGAAUAUUUUUUACAGUUUGAGAAAUGCUAGUCUAUACCCAGUUUUUCAAAACAAAAAAGAAACAAACACAUUAAAGCAUUCUUUUUUAACUCAUAGGGUUCUGAAUUUUGGAAAUAGAUCAAUUUAUAACAGAUGAACAAACUGCAUAAAAAGCUACAUUGCAAGAAAGAAAAGGUUAUUAUUGUUACCUGAUUAUUCUUAAUUUUUAAACUUGCAUCUUGAAGUGGUUAUGUCAUAAGAAUAAUCAGAGUG